AUGGAGAAUAGCACCGGCUUCCUCCUUCCAGAUCUUUGCAUAGCUCGUCCUCCUGGCCGACCUCGCAUGUGCGCCGCCACCUUGCUGCCAUCCCGGCAAGCGUCCCGACAGCCGCCGCUUGCCUCUUCAUUCUCCGCCCUUCCUGGCUGCCCUCUGCCUUCGCCUGCUUCCGUGACGUCGCCUCCAAUAUUGCAAAGAUAUUUUUCAGGUUUCUUGGACUUAGAUAAAGCGAUGUUUAGAAAAAUCAGUGCAACAACAUCAGCUCCAAGGCUAGAAAUAUGUCUCUAUAUUGACUGGAACAUGUUGUUGUCAGAUGGGCAUAAUGGUAUCCGAGGCAAGAAAACUCGCACUCCAGAGUGCUGCCCUACCACAAUCUCUGCAUCAAUUGCAUUUUUCUGA
rnacentral:rRNA from 1 species